GAGACAGUGAGGAGCUCCUGCUUCGAUACAAACCUGAGACUCUAAGCUAUGUGCUUGGUCACCAGGAGAUUGUUUAUGGCAGAUCAUCCAACCUCAAAAAUGCUGAUAACUUCAACAGGCCUAGCUUUUGUUCUUCUGCYAUGUCCAGCUCUGAGAGUGAGAUUGAAGCAGUUAAAGAUAAGCUCAAUGUCACUGAGAUUCACAGAGUGAUCACUCCACUCAGAUGUGUCCUCUUGGCGGAAUGUGAAGCAUUGACUGAAAUGACAAAACAUUUCAAGG